rnacentral:ncRNA from 1 species
GAAUAUUCCCACGGGAGCGCCCACCGAACCGGCGCUGAGAGGGCAUCGGGAAUCCGGAUGCCGACCGUUCGAACCUGUCCGGGUAAUGCCGGCGUAGGAAAGGACCCGCGAUGGCGA